UCCAGACUCCUACGGGAGGCAGCAGUGGGGAAUAUUGCACAAUGGGGGGAACCCUGAUGCAGCGACGCCGCGUGGGCGAGGAAGUAUUUCGGUAUGUAAAGCCCUAUCGGCAGGGAAGAAGAAAUGACGGUACCUGAAUAAGAAGCACCGGCUAAAUACGUGCCAGCAGCCGCGGUAAUACGUAUGGUGCAAGCGUUAUCCGGAUUUACUGGGCGUAAAGGGAGCGCAGGCGGCACGGCAAGCCUGAUGUGAAAGCCCGCGGCCCAACCGCGGGACUGCAUUGGGAACUACCGGGCUGGAGUGCCGGAGAGGUAGGCGGAAUUCCUAGGGUAGCGGUGAAAUGCGUAGAUAUUAGGAGGAACACCAGUGGCGAAGGCGGCCUACUGGACGGUGACUGACGCUGAGGCUCGAAAGCGUGGGUAGCGAACGGGAUUAGAUACCCCCGUAAU
rnacentral:rRNA from 1 species